UACGUAGGGGGCUAGCGUUGUCCGGAAUCAUUGGGCGUAAAGAGCGUGUAGGCGGCCCGGUAAGUCCGCUGUGAAAGUCGGGGGCUCAACCCUCGAAUGCCGGUGGAUACUGUCGGGCUAGAGUGCGGAAGAGGCGAGUGGAAUUCCUGGUGUAGCGGUGAAAUGCGCAGAUAUCAGGAGGAACACCAGUGGCGAAGGCGGCUCUCUGGGCCCUACCUGACGCUGAGACGCGAAAGCGUGGGGAGCGAACCGG
rnacentral:rRNA from 1 species